AAAAUAUUUUACUUUAGAUACAGUAGAAAGCACUUUUUAAUGCAUACAAAGUAAUUUCAUAGUUUCUGUGGCUUACUAUGAAAAGAAAACAAGUUCCCAAGCUUUGAGCAUGUCUUUGAGCUAGCAGUGAUCAAGCAGCUGCUGCAAAUCAGUGAGGAAAAGGGGACUGACUAGUGAGACCUUCCCCAAGGGGAUGAAAUCACUUACUUGGCAGACACACCCUAAGGUAACCCCCAGUGAGUCAUGUCCUUAUAUAAUCCUUUUUCCUUGAGUUCAGGAAGUACCUGUGACUUGCAAUGUGCCAAAGGUGAUGGUAUCAUCUCUGCCAUGGUUAUGUUGUUAUCUAAGACUCCACCUUAGAUGACUAGAGAGUCACCCACUGGCACCAGCUGCCAUGUCAUGACAGCUGGUGGCAGGAACUGCAGGCAGCCUCUAAAGCUGAGAGCAGCCUCAACUGACAGCCAGGAAGAAAGCAGGGACCUUUGUGCUUCAACUGCAGGAAGUGAAUUCUUCCAUCAACCAUGCGACACUGGGAGAGAACCCCAUGCUCUGGAUAGGAACAUAGCCCAGCCAACACCUUGACUGCAGCCCUGUGAGACCCUAAGCAGAGGACCUAGCUAAGCUGUGCCCAGAAUCCUGACCCAAGGAAACUGUGAGAUAAUAAAUAUCUGCUGUUUUAAGCUGCUAGGCUUGCGGUGAUUUCUUAUAAAGCAAUAGAGAGUUGAUAAUGAGAUAGACUGGAAGCCAGAGAAUGGGGACCGUUGGGAGAAAAAUGGGGUUGGUGCUGGUAUGUCUAACAAGUAUAUGACACGUUAUGGCUGGGUGCCGUGGCUCAUGCCCGUAAUCCCAGCACUUUGGGAGGCUGAAGCGGGCGGAUCACCUGAGGUCAGGAGAUUGAGGCCAGCCUGACCAAUAUGGUGAAACCUCGUCUCUACCAAAAAUGCAAAAAUGAGCCAGGCUGUGGUGACCAGCGCCUGUAAUCCCAGCUACUCAGGAGGCUAUGACAGGAGAAUCGCUUGAGCCUGGGAGGCGGAGGUUGUGGUGAGCCAAGAUCGUGCCACUGCACUCCAGUCUAGGCAAGUGAGACCCUGUCUCAAAAAAAAAAAAAAGGAAAGAAAACUGAACUCCCACCUGGGCAACAGAGUGAGACUCCGUCUCAAAAACAAAACAAAACAAAACAGAACAAAACAAACCAGGACAAAUACCUUAGAAAGGUCAGAAUACUUUGCAAAGUACUUACACUGUACAAGUCUGGAACAAACCGCGUGCUCACUCCUUACCUGGCAAGGAGUUCAAGGCCAUGCUUGGUCGGACAGCAGCUGAGGCAGGCAGUCACCCCCGAGUCUCCCUUCCAAGGUCACGCCCACCACUCAUGCCCGAUGGGACCACAAUGCAUGCCUUCAUGCUCCACGCCUGCCUUGCAUGCAUGCUUGCACCAAGCCUACAAUGCCGCAUCCACUUUCUUUGCCUAGGCAAAGCCUCAAGUCCAGAUCUUGGCCAUCUCCUCAAGGCUCCUUGUCCCCCGCCUGACUUCACCUAGACUCCAGAGUCAUGCACUCUGAUUGCCCAUGCUCUACAAGCUCUAGUCUUGCUGAAGGGCUAACUCCUCAUUGCCCUCUCUGGUCCCCGUGUCACCGCACUCUCCAAUGUCUGCCUCUCCAAAUAAUGAAUCUCCUUUCAGAACUCACUGCUGCAUUCCCAAGCCCAGCACCAGACCUGGCACAAAAUACAUGUUUAUUGAGUAGAUGACAUUUAAUUUGCGAGAAUGUACUUUUAAAAGUGUCCUGUAAAGCCCGAGCCUGACUGUCUGAUCUCCCACGGCACCCAAUCAGCUGGGCUCCUCUGAGCAGGAAGCGAUGUCAGAUUUAAGUGAGUUUUGUAGGAUCCCUGGGAAAAGCAGAGACAGGUGGCAGGCAGUACAGCCUCAG
rnacentral:lncRNA from 1 species